rnacentral:lncRNA from 1 species
AGUUGUUUUUUUUUAAAAAAAUUUAUCUUUUUUUUCUUUUUAUCGACAUGUGUAUAUGGUUUAGGGUUUUCGGGGUUUAGUUAUUCUGGCUAGUUUUGUUAUUCUAUUUUUAACGAUUUUGAAUUGAUUUUUUUUAUUUUUUGUUUCAAUUUCAUCGUCAUGAUUUAAGACCGUUGUUGUUCAUGUUUUGUUGUCUACAAUUGCUGCUUCAUUUUAAUUCAUAUGUGUGUAGAGAUCAUUAUGUUUGAAAAAAUUUUAUUCUUUUGAUUAAACUUUCCAUUCUUGUAAUUUUUUUUUUGGUAACAUUUUGUAGAGCAAAACCAAAUAUUCGAGGUAUCUUC